CCCCCUGAAGCCUCACAGCUGGUACCUGACAGAGGGAAGCUCGGGUAGCCUGUGACAGUGACUCAGAGGCUCCUUCUGUGACCCGCAGGACGGUGGCCAUGGAUGAUCCUGGCUGAGACUUUUGAGAAAACACGCUGCUAUUCUAAUUCCCUAUCAGAAAAAGCCUCGUGGACGCUUCCCCUCAGCUGAGAGGCUGCCUCUCUGAGAAACCAGCACCUCCUCGGUGACGCCAGGGCCUCCCACGUGCAGUGGGGUUGAAUGAUGCCUCCUCCAAAGUCGUUUCCACCUGGAAGCUCCAAAUGUGCCUUUGCAGAUGCAGGUUGGAAACAAAACUACAGCAAAUUGAAGACAUCGUUGCUAUUUUAAUGGUUUCUGGAUAUCUUUGGAGACCACUGACACAGUCUUUGAGUCAAACCUGACCUGAACAUAGAUACUUGGAUUGAGGUUGGAAAACAGCAGAGAAGGUGAUGUUUCUCUUUAACCUUCUACGGUGUUAUCUCCCCAAACUGCACCUAUUUUGUGAUCUUGCCUUUCAACUGCUUUUUUAUUUUCUAUUUUCCCUCUUCUUCCCAUGUCCUGUUUAAC
rnacentral:lncRNA from 1 species